rnacentral:rRNA from 1 species
UCGAGUAGGGCCCUGGGGAGAGUACACGCGCAAGCGAGAAAUUUAAAGGAAAUUGACGGAAGAACACCACAAGGAGUGGAGUGUGCGGCUUAAUUUGACUCAACGCGGGACAACUUACCGGGCCCGACGACCGUAAGAGUGUAACACACGAUAGGUCGAAGAGUGGUGCAUGGCCGUUAACGACGAGUGGAGUGAUCUUUGGGUUAAGUCCGUAAAUUAGUGAGACCUCAGCCGUAAGGGACAGGUGCGCAAAGCACAGGAAGGAUGGGUCAAGGACAGGUCAGUGAUGCCCUUAGAUGGUCCGGGCUGCACGCGCACUACAGUGGUCGCCGGAAUURCCUGAUAAUUAUAAAGGCGAUCGAGAGGGAAUGAGCUUUGUAAGAGGCUCAGGAACGAGGAAUUGCUAGUAAUCGCGGACUCAUUAAGACGCGAUGAAUACGUCCCUGUUCUUUGUACACACCGCCCGUCGUUAUCGAAGAUGAAGACAGGCGCGAACGAUCUACCAGAAAGUGAGCGCAGGUCUUUAGAUCUGAUACAAGUCGUAACAAGGUAGCUGUAGGAGAACCUGUAGCUGG